rnacentral:rRNA from 1 species
CCUUUUGUAUAAUGGGUCAGCGACUUAUAUUCUGUAGCAAGGUUAACCGAAUAGGGGAGCCGAAGGGAAACCGAGUCUUAACUGGGCGUUAAGUUGCAGGGUAUAGACCCGAAACCCGGUGAUCUAGCCAUGGGCAGGUUGAAGGUUGGGUAACACUAACUGGAGGACCGAACCGACUAAUGUUGAAAAAUUAGCGGAUGACUUGUGGCUGGGGGUGAAAGGCCAAUCAAACCGGGAGAUAGCUGGUUCUCCCCGAAAGCUAUUUAGGUAGCGCCUCGUGAAUUCAUCUCCGGGGGUAGAGCACUGUUUCGGCAA